GGUAGAGCACUGAAUUUCCUAGGGGGCGUCAAAGCCUACCGAAGAAUAUCAAACUCCGAAUGCCGUGUAGAUAUCACCGGGAGUCAGACUGCACGAGAUAAGUUGGGCGGUCAAAAGGGAAAGAGCCCAGACCUACAGUUAAGGUCCCAAAGUGCGCGUUAAGUGGAAAAGGAUGUGGGAUUUCGAAGACAACCAGGAUGUUGGCUCAGAAGCAGCCAUACAUUCAAAGAGUGCGUAAUAGCUCACUGGUCGAGAGGUCCUGCGCCGAAAAUGUCCGGGGCUGAAACGCGCCACCGAAACUAAGGAACCGAAAGGUUGGUAGAGGAGCAUUGCAUGCGGGAAGAAGCAGUACCGUAAGGAGCUGUGGACUGCAUGGAAGAGAGAAUGCCGGAAUGAGUAGCGAGAUAGAGGUGGGAAUCCUCUAGGCCGAAUAUCCAAGGUUUCCAGGGUAAAGCUGAUCUGCCCUGGGUGAGUCGGGACCUAAGGUGAGGGCGAGAGCCGUAGCCGAUGGACAACAGGUUGAUAUUCCUGUACUGCAGUAUGACAGAACUGUGGGGACACGUAAGGAGAGCGGGAGCCGGGAAUGGAAAGCCCGGUACAAGCGAGGUACCAGUCACAUAGGAAAAUCCGUGUGGCAAUGGGAAGACGUGAUGUGGAGCGAAGAUUAGUAGCGAAGCCCGUGAGCCAUGCGUCAAGAAAAGCCGCUAUCGUUCAUAUUGUACCCGUACCGUAAACCGACACAGGUGGAUGAGGAGAGAAUCCUAAGGCCGGCGGAAGAAGCAUUGUUAAGGAACUCGGCAAAAUGACCCCGUAACUUCGGGAGAAGGGGUGCUCCAGAGAUGGAGCCGCAGAGAACUGGCCCAAGCAACUGUUUAGCAAAAACACAGGUCUAUGCAAAACCGAAAGGUGAGGUAUAUGGGCUGACGCCUGCCCGGUGCUGGAAGGUUAAGAGGAGAGGUUAGCGCAAGCGAAGCUUUGAAUUUAAGCCCCAGUAAACGGCGGCCGUAACUAUAACGGUCCUAAGGUAGCGAAAUUCCUUGUCGGGUAAGUUCCGACCCGCACGAAAGGCGUAAUGAUUUGGGCACUGUCUCGACAAUGCACCCGGUGAAAUUGAAAUACCAGUGAAGAUGCUGGUUACCUGCGCCAGGACGGAAAGACCCCAUGGAGCUUUACUCUAGCUUGAUACUGGGGUUCGGUAUUGCAUGUACAGGAUAGGUGGGAGACUGAGAAGAUGUGUCGCCAGAUGCAUCAGAGUCGAUGUUGGGAUACCACCCCUGCAGUACUGGGCUUCUAACCUGCAGCCGUGACCCGGCUGGGGGACAAUGUCUGGUGGGGAGUUUGACUGGGGCGGUCGCCUCCGAAAGAGUAUCGGAGGCGCUCAAAGGUUCCCUCAGAAUGGUUGGAAACCAUUCGAAGAGUG
rnacentral:rRNA from 1 species